AGUGAAUGCUGGCGGUAGGCCUAACACAUGCAAGUCGAACGGCAGCACAGUAAGAGCUUGCUCUUACGGGUGGCGAGUGGCGGACGGGUGAGGAAUAGAUCGGAAUCUACUUUUUCGUGGGGGAUAACGUAGGGAAACUUACGCUAAUACCGCAUACGACCUACGGGUGAAAGCAGGGGAUCUUCGGCACUUGCGCGAUUGAAUGAGCCGAUGUCGGAUUAGCUAGUUGGCGGGGUAAAGGCCCACCAAGGCGACGAUCCGUAGCUGGUCUGAGAGGAUGAUCAGCCACACUGUAACUGAGACACGGUCCAGACUCCUACGGGAGGCAGCAGUGGGGAAUAUUGGACAAUGGGCGCAAGCCUGAUCCAGCCAUACCGCGUGGGUGAAGAAGGCCUUCGGGUUGUAAAGCCCUUUUGUUGGGAAAGAAAAGCAGCAGGUUAAUACCCCGCUGUUCUGACGGUACCCAAAGAAUAAGCACCGGCUAACUUCGUG
rnacentral:rRNA from 1 species